rnacentral:rRNA from 1 species
AGGAGCUUGCUCUUCUUGGAUGAGUUGCGAACGGGUGAGUAACGCGUAGGUAACCUGCCUUGUAGCGGGGGAUAACUAUUGGAAACGAUAGCUAAUACCGCAUAACAAUGGAUGACACAUGUCAUUUAUUUGAAAGGGGCAAUUGUUCCACUACAAGAUGGACCUGCGUUGUAUUAGCUAGUAGGUGAGGUAAUGGCUCACCUAGGCGACGAUACAUAGCCGACCUGAGAGGGUGAUCGGCCACACUGGGACUGAGACACGGCCCAGACUCCUACGGGAGGCAGCAGUAGGGAAUCUUCGGCAAUGGGGGCAACCCUGACCGAGCAACGCCGCGUGAGUGAAGAAGGUUUCGGAUCGUAAAGCUCUGUUGUAAGUCAAGAACGGGUGUGAGAGUGGAAAGUUCACACUGUGACGGUAGCUUACCAGAAAGGGACGGCUAACUACGUGCCAGCAGCCGCGGUAAUACGUAGGUCCCGAGCGUUGUCCGGAUUUAUUGGGCGUAAAGCGAGCGCAGGCGGUUUGAUAAGUCUGAAGUUAAAGGCUGUGGCUCAACCAUAGUUCGCUUUGGAAACUGUCAAACUUGAGUGCAGAAGGGGAGAGUGGAAUUCCAUGUGUAGCGGUGAAAUGCGUAGAUAUAUGGAGGAACACCGGUGGCGAAAGCGGCUCUCUGGUCUGUAACUGACGCUGAGGCUCGAAAGCGUGGGGAGCGAACAGGAUUAGAUACCCUGGUAGUCCACGCCGUAAACGAUGAGUGCUAGGUGUUGGAUCCUUUCCGGGAUUCAGUGCCGCAGCUAACGCAUUAAGCACUCCGCCUGGGGAGUACGACCGCAAGGUUGAAACUCAAAGGAAUUGACGGGGGCCCGCACAAGCGGUGGAGCAUGUGGUUUAAUUCGAAGCAACGCGAAGAACCUUACCAGGUCUUGACAUCCCGAUGCUAUUUCUAGAGAUAGAAAGUUACUUCGGUACAUCGGUGACAGGUGGUGCAUGGUUGUCGUCAGCUCGUGUCGUGAGAUGUUGGGUUAAGUCCCGCAACGAGCGCAACCCCUAUUGUUAGUUGCCAUCAUUCAGUUGGGCACUCUAGCGAGACUGCCGGUAAUAAACCGGAGGAAGGUGGGGAUGACGUCAAAUCAUCAUGCCCCUUAUGACCUGGGCUACACACGUGCUACAAUGGUUGGUACAACGAGUUGCGAGUCGGUGACGGCGAGCUAAUCUCUUAAAGCCAAUCUCAGUUCGGAUUGUAGGCUGCAACUCGCCUACAUGAAGUCGGAAUCGCUAGUAAUCGCGGAUCAGCACGCCGCGGUGAAUACGUUCCCGGGCCUGUACACACCGCCCGUCACACCACGAGAGUUUGUAACACCCGAAGUCGGUGAGGUAACCUUUGGAGCCAGCCGCCUAAGG